UAGAGCCCCUUUCUUCAAUUAGUCCCUGGCCAGAUGUCCACUGGGAACUUUUGUGCUGUCCUUCAGCCUGGCUCUGGGGUCACUGCAGCCUCCAAGGCCAACACAGUACACAAAAGAAGCCAGAUCAUAACUGUGGAAGUGUGAGGAGGCCCUCCUCCAUGGCCGGCAUCCCUGCUCGCUCUUCUCAGAAGAGGGCCGGGGUACGAUGGCAUCCAAGUCAUCAAUCUCUGUAACAGAAAAAGGAGGAAUUAGAAAGGGAGCGGCGCUUCCAGUGCAAAGCUCAUAGACGGGAGACGGGAGACGCUCUCCACAGAAGCCGCCUUCACACACAGGGGCAGCAGUAGCUGCGUGCUCUUGUGCACAGGGUUCUCUCCCAGGUUGGCUGCAGACUACCACUGCCUCCCACAGGGGAUUCACAGGGAAUCUGCAGCGCCCCCGUUGACUGGCAUGUAUCUUACCAGACACAGGCUUAGUAACACAUCCAGUUGGCUGUGUUUAUGAUACCUUUGUCUCUCUUUAAAUCUCUGUACAGCUACAUGGGCAAGCCAACAUGGGUCCCAGCAUGGGUCUCAUUAUACACUGAAAACAUGCAUCUCUUUUGCAGGUCUCCACAGACAGUGCUCCUUCCUGGCUCUUUUAGUCUCAUAGUAGAGUGUUCUCAGCCUUCUUUGGGGAGAUUUGUCCAGUGAGAGGUGUGUGACACCUCAGAACAAGCCUCAGGGACACAGCCUAUCCUGUAUGGACUUCCGGACAUAGCAGUUCAGGUUCUUUCGGAGAUUGAUUUUUCUCCUAAGGUAUCAGACUUCACUCUCUAAAGCUCUUGUUCUCAGAGGAAGCAAGUACUUUCCCUUAGCCAGACAGCAUCCCUUGGAAGGUUCCAAGCAGCGGGCUCUACAUUUUUCUAGCUUAUUUUGCUUGGUCAUGUUUUAAUAAACAAUGAUAGAACCCAG
rnacentral:lncRNA from 1 species